rnacentral:misc_RNA from 1 species
AUUAUUCUGGAAAGUCAAGGUGGGCGGUGAAGGCAUGGGCAACCAUGCUUAUCACUCGCCCCUUUACUCUUCAUGAACAUCCCGUCUGUGCAUCGAACCUUUGUUGCUUCCCGCAUGGCCUGGCCUGGAAGGGCUACCGUGCGGGGAGGAUACGAUAAACUCUGGUUGUUGUAUCGUUAGUCUGAGUGGUAAACACAUUAAACAAGUUA